GGGUUGUGAGGUUAAGCGACUAAGCGUACACGGUGGAUGCCCUGGCAGUCAGAGGCGAUGAAGGACGUGCUAAUCUGCGAAAAGCGUCGGUAAGGUGAUAUGAACCGUUAUAGCCGGCGAUGUCCGAAUGGGGAAACCCAGUGCAAUUCGUUGCACUAUCGUUUGAUGAAUACAUAGUCAAACGAGGCGAACCGGGGGAACUGAAACAUCUAAGUACCCCGAGGAAAAGAAAUCAACCGAGAUUCCCCCAGUAGCGGCGAGCGAACGGGGAGCAGCCCGGAGUCUGAAUCAGCUUGUGUGUUAGUGGAAGCGUCUGGAAAGUCGCAGGGUACAGGGUGAUACUCCCGUACACUAAAACGCACAGGCUGUGAACUCGAAGAGUAGGGCGGGACACGUGGUAUCCUGUCUGAAUAUGGGGGGACCAUCCUCCAAGGCUAAAUACUCCUGACUGACCGAUAGUGAACCAGUACCGUGAGGGAAAGGCGAAAAGAACCCCGGCGAGGGGAGUGAAAAAGAACCUGAAACCGUGUACGUACAAGCAGUAGGAGCCUCUUUAUGGGGUGACUGCGUACCUUUUGUAUAAUGGGUCAGCGACUUAUAUUCUGUAGCAAGGUUAACCGUAUAGGGGAGCCGCAGGGAAACCGAGUCUUAACUGGGCGUUAAGUUGCAGGGUAUAGACCCGAAACCCGGUGAUCUAGCCAUGGGCAGGUUGAAGGUUGGGUAACACUAACUGGAGGACCGAACCGACUAAUGUUGAAAAAUUAGCGGAUGACUUGUGGCUGGGGGUGAAAGGCCAAUCAAACCGGGAGAUAGCUGGUUCUCCCCGAAAGCUAUUUAGGUAGCGCCUCGUGAAUUCAUCUUCGGGGGUAGAGCACUGUUUCGGCUAGGGGGUCAUCCCGACUUACCAACCCGAUGCAAACUACGAAUACCGAAGAAUGUUAUCACGGGAGACACACGGCGGGUGCUAACGUCCGUCGUGAAGAGGGAAACAACCCAGACCGCCAGCUAAGGUCCCAAAGUCAUGGUUAAGUGGGAAACGAUGUGGGAAGGCCCAGACAGCCAGGAUGUUGGCUUAGAAGCAGCCAUCAUUUAAAGAAAGCGUAAUAGCUCACUGGUCGAGUCGGCCUGCGCGGAAGAUGUAACGGGGCUAAACCAUGCACCGAAGCUGCGGCAGCGACACUAUGUGUUGUUGGGUAGGGGAGCGUUCUGUAAGCCGUUGAAGGUGGCCUGUGAGGGUUGCUGGAGGUAUCAGAAGUGCGAAUGCUGACAUAAGUAACGAUAAUGCGGGUGAAAAACCCGCACGCCGGAAGACCAAGGGUUCCUGUCCAACGUUAAUCGGGGCAGGGUGAGUCGACCCCUAAGGCGAGGCCGAAAGGCGUAGUCGAUGGGAAACAGGUUAAUAUUCCUGUACUCGGUGUUACUGCGAAGGGGGGACGGAGAAGGCUAUGUUGGCCGGGCGACGGUUGUCCCGGUUUAAGCAUGUAGGCGGAUGUUCCAGGUAAAUCCGGAACGUUAUUAACGCUGAGGUGUGAUGACGAGGCACUACGGUGCUGAAGUGACAAAUGCCCUGCUUCCAGGAAAAGCCUCUAAGCAUCAGGUAACAUCAAAUCGUACCCCAAACCGACACAGGUGGUCAGGUAGAGAAUACCAAGGCGCUUGAGAGAACUCGGGUGAAGGAACUAGGCAAAAUGGUGCCGUAACUUCGGGAGAAGGCACGCUGAUAUGUAGGUGAAGUGGUUUACCCAUGGAGCUGAAAUCAGUCGAAGAUACCAGCUGGCUGCAACUGUUUAUUAAAAACACAGCACUGUGCAAACACGAAAGUGGACGUAUACGGUGUGACGCCUGCCCGGUGCCGGAAGGUUAAUUGAUGGGGUUAUCCGUAAGGAGAAGCUCUUGAUCGAAGCCCCGGUAAACGGCGGCCGUAACUAUAACGGUCCUAAGGUAGCGAAAUUCCUUGUCGGGUAAGUUCCGACCUGCACGAAUGGCGUAAUGAUGGCCAGGCUGUCUCCACCCGAGACUCAGUGAAAUUGAACUCGCUGUGAAGAUGCAGUGUACCCGCGGCAAGACGGAAAGACCCCGUGAACCUUUACUAUAGCUUGACACUGAACACUGGUCCUUGAUGUGUAGGAUAGGUGGGAGGCUUUGAAGUGUGGACGCCAGUCUGC
rnacentral:rRNA from 1 species